GUUCCGACGAAGUACAUACAAUAAAAUUGGAACGAUACAAGAGAGAUAAGCAUGGCCGUCGUGGAGAGAUGACGCGCAUAAUCGUGAAGCGUUUCCAAAUCAU